CUAACGAGGAUUCCCCUAGUAACGGCGAGUGAAGCGGGAAGAGCUCAAAUUUGUAAUCUGGCGGUCUAUGGCCGUCCGAGUUGUAGUCUGGAGAAGCGUUUUCUGCGUCGGACCGUGUACAAGUCCCUUGGAACAGGGCGUCAUAGAGGGUGAGAAUCCCGUCUUUGACACGGACUGCCGGUGCUUUGUGAUGCGCUCUCGAAGAGUCGAGUUGUUUGGGAAUGCAGCUCAAAACGGGUGGUAAAUUCCAUCUAAAGCUAAAUAUUGGCAAAAGACCGAUAGCGAACAAGUACCGUGAGGGAAAGAUGAAAAGCACUUUGGAAAGAGAGUUAAACAGUACGUGAAAUUGUUGAAAGGGAAACGCUUGAAGUCAGUCACGUCUUCCGAGACUCAGCCUUGCUUUUUGCUUGGCGUAUUUCUUGGAGCGACGGGCCAGCAUCGAUUUUGAUCGUCGGAGAAAGGCUUUGGGGAAUGUGGCACCUUUUGGGGUGUGUUAUAGCCCUGGGUCGUAUGCGACGGUUGGGAUCGAGGAUCGCAGCACGCCUUUUUGGCCGGGGUUCGCCCACGUAACGUGCUUAGGAUGCUGGCGUAAUGGCUUUAAGCGACCCGUCUU
rnacentral:rRNA from 1 species